UGGGGAAUAUUGCACAAUGGGCGCAAGCCUGAUGCAGCCAUGCCGCGUGUGUGAAGAAGGCCUUCGGGUUGUAAAGCACUUUCAGCGAGGAGGAAGGUGGUGAACUUAAUACGUUCAUCAAUUGACGUUACUCGCAGAAGAAGCACCGGCUAACUCCGUGCCAGCAGCCGCGGUAAUACGGAGGGUGCAAGCGUUAAUCGGAAUUACUGGGCGUAAAGCGCACGCAGGCGGUUUGUUAAGUCAGAUGUGAAAUCCCCGGGCUCAACCUGGGAACUGCAUUUGAAACUGGCAAGCUAGAGUCUCGUAGAGGGGGGUAGAAUUCCAGGUGUAGCGGUGAAAUGCGUAGAGAUCUGGAGGAAUACCGGUGGCGAAGGCGGCCCCCUGGACGAAGACUGACGCUCAGGUGCGAAAGCGUAGGGAGCAAACAGGAUUAGAUACCCUGGUAGUCCACGCUGUAAACGAUGUCGAUUUUGGAGGUUGUGCCCUUGAGGCGUGGCUUCCGGAGCUAACGCGUUAAAUCGACCGCCUGGGGAG
rnacentral:rRNA from 1 species